rnacentral:misc_RNA from 1 species
GCAAACUUGGUCAUUUAGAGGAAGUAAAAGUCGUAACAAGGUUUCCGUAGGUGAACCUGCGGAAGGAUCAUUAACAAAUUUAUACUGUUAGUAAUUCAUUCCUUUUGUGUGAAGUUUUGUAUAAAAGUAUGAUAACUCUGGUAUGGUCAUUUUUUCAGGUGUGAAAAAGUGGAUUGCCUGCCAGUAGUUUUUAUCUAAUAAACUAUUGUUAUAUUUUGUGUGUGUAUAUUUGUUAUUCUGAUGAAAGUUUUAUGAUGAACUCUGAUCAAUUUCACCUGAAAUGGGUCAAAAGUUUAACAGAAACUGAAUUCAAAAAUUAACUCAAUACAACUUGCAACAAUGGAUCUCUUGGCUCUUGCAUCGAUGAAGAACGCAGC